CAGGCUUAACACAUGCAAGUCGAGGGGCAGCAUGGUCUUAGCUUGCUAAGGCCGAUGGCGACCGGCGCACGGGUGAGUAACACGUAUCCAACCUGCCGUCUACUCUUGGACAGCCUUCUGAAAGGAAGAUUAAUACAAGAUGGCAUCAUGAGUCCGCAUGUUCACAUGAUUAAAGGUAUUCCGGUAGACGAUGGGGAUGCGUUCCAUUAGAUAGUAGGCGGGGUAACGGCCCACCUAGUCUUCGAUGGAUAGGGGUUCUGAGAGGAAGGUCCCCCACAUUGGAACUGAGACACGGUCCAAACUCCUACGGGAGGCAGCAGCGAGGAAUAUUGGUCAAUGGGCGAGAGCCUGAACCAGCCAAGUAGCGUGAAGGAUGACUGCCCUAUGGGUUGUAAACUUCUUUUAUAAAGGAAUAAAGUCGGGUAUGGAUACCCGUUUGCAUGUACUUUAUGAAUAAGGAUCGGCUAACUCCGUGCCAGCAGCCGCGGUAAUACGGAGGAUCCGAGCGUUAUCCGGAUUUAUUGGGUUUAAAGGGAGCGUAGAUGGAUGUUUAAGUCAGUUGUGAAAGUUUGCGGCUCAACCGUAAAAUUGCAGUUGAUACUGGAUAUCUUGAGUGCAGUUGAGGCAGGCGGAAUUCGUGGUGUAGCGGUGAAAUGCUUAGAUAUCACGAAGAACUCCGAUUGCGAAGGCAGCCUGCUAAGCUGCAACUGACAUUGAGGCUCGAAAGUGUGGGUAUCAAACAGGAUUAGAUACCCUGGUAGUCCACACGGUAAACGAUGAAUACUCGCUGUUUGCGAUAUACUGCAAGCGGCCAAGCGAAAGCGUUAAGUAUUCCACCUGGGGAGUACGCCGGCAACGGUGAAACUCAAAGGAAUUGACGGGGGCCCGCACAAGCGGAGGAACAUGUGGUUUAAUUCGAUGAUACGCGAGGAACCUUACCCGGGCUUAAAUUGCAGAUGAAUUACGGUGAAAGCCGUAAGCCGCAAGGCAUCUGUGAAGGUGCUGCACGGUUGUCGUCAGCUCGUGCCGUGAGGUGUCGGCUUAAGUGCCAUAACGAGCGCAACCCUUGUUGUCAGUUACUAACAGGUUCCGCUGAGGACUCUGACAAGACUGCCAUCGUAAGAUGUGAGGAAGGUGGGGAUGACGUCAAAUCAGCACGGCCCUUACGUCCGGGGCUACACACGUGUUACAAUGGGGGGUACAGAGGGCCGCUACCACGCGAGUGGAUGCCAAUCCCCAAAACCUCUCUCAGUUCGGACUGGAGUCUGCAACCCGACUCCACGAAGCUGGAUUCGCUAGUAAUCGCGCAUCAGCCACGGCGCGGUGAAUACGUUCCCGGGCCUUGUACACACCGCCCGUCAAGCCAUGGGAGCCGGGGGUACCUGAAGUGCGUAACCGCGAGGAGCGCCCUAGGGUAAAACUGGUGACUGGGGCUAAGUC
rnacentral:rRNA from 1 species